GCCUGGCGCGUGUUUGCGUGUUUCAGUGCUGACGGGGAUCCAGGAGAGCAGGCGGGGCCGCAGGGGAGGGGCGGGCCCUGGGCAGCCAGUCUGGACGCUCCCAGGGAGAGACCUGUCACUUCCUCAGAUGCACAGUAAGCUUCGGCUUCCUACGUUCCCCAAAGGGGAGUGGUUCUGGCUCUUCUAGGGAAUUCCUGAAUCCAAGACACUAUCCUUCAGAAUGUCUGGAGUCCCCUUUUUCCCAGCGGAGAUCAAGACCAGUGAAGGAAGGAGGGAACCAGGGCUAGAGAUUUGACAAGGCUGGUUAGUGUCCAGUUCAGGGUCAGAAUGAUCCCUCACUUGGAGUCCUGGCUGUCUGAACUUCAAGGAGAAACAGCCCCAAGCCCUGUGAAUCAGAAACCCCCUCAGAUGUGAAGGGAUCCACACCUGACAGCCUUCACUCCCUUUUUCGAUUCUUCUCCAGAAUUCCCUCUGGGUGAUGAGACACGUCUCCAUGGAAACACCUCGAGGGUGGAUUACCUGGGCUCUUUUAAAUGGCACUGAGAAGAACAUGGCAGGUGCAGAAUUGCCUUCCAGAACCUUCCAGCUCAGCCUGGCCAGCAGCUGGAAGCAGCUGAGGGAGUGACCCAGCCAGGCCAGGUGGAGCAGAGAGCCACCAGCGGGGCCCUGCCCGAAAUCUGACCCCAGGACUGUGGGGAGUCAGGAACCACUGACAUUUGAAGCCACAACCCUAUUGGAAGGUCUGUCCUGCAAGAAGAGAUAACCGACUCAGAGGGGGCACAGGGGGACUGGCCUGGAGUGUCACCAGCGGGGAGGAGCUCCCAGGUUGGAAUGAAGGGAGCAGGAGCACAUCCCUAUUCUUGCCCUGUCUGCAAUGACCAAGGCCUCCCUGGUUUCGUGAAUGCUGGAACUUCUCCUCUAGAAACCUGGGUUGCUACAAAGGCUAUCUCGCCCAUGGGUGGUCUGCCCACGUCAGCAUUAUCCAGCCGCCCCCAGACUGCAGCCGAGAGGGACCAGAGCCGGCUCACAGGGUCCCGCCAGUGACAAAGCCUGUACCGCGGUCUGCCUGCCCAUCGCCCAAAGCAUGGUGGUGAGACCCUCCCAGGCAACCUGCGUCAGGUGCUGGAUCACACGGCUCCCACGGACGCACGUAAGUUUGGAGAUGGAAGCUGAAUUUUAGUUGUUGAAGGAAAUACCUUUUUUUAUGUGUAUUUAUUUUUUAGAGACCUGGAGUGCAAGUGGGGGAGGGGCAGAGAGAGGGAGACACAGAAUCCGAAGCAGGCUCCAGG